UAAGAGUAAAGAAGAGUCUGAGGAGCCGACUUGGGAUUACGAAUAAGGGAGUUUAGAGGUUUGGUCAUUAUUAUUAGCGCCGUCGGCAUUUAUCCAACAAGAAGAACCAGCAAACUCCUAGGAACCAGUUUGGAGACUGAAAAUUGCAGGCUCUUGGGCAACCGGCCGGCCGACACGAUGAAAGGAUUCGCUCCUCUCUACUUACACACGUCAGAUCAUCACCAAUUCGACCAAUUCGAUCUUACACACAACUCAGACAAGAGUACACCCGACACCGCCGCUGAUGAUCGUUUAACAAUCGAUCGAUAUAUGACGACUACGCUUCUCCAUCAUCAUCAUCAUCAUCAUCAUCAUCAUCUUCUUUGGGAGGCGUUGCCCAAGAUAUCGAUCAAAGGAUCCACCGUGAACGGACUAAGCAAAAUUAAAGAACCCACUUGAGCAGUCUAUAUACAUACACAGUGUACUCUACUAAAAAGUAUUCCAGCGUACUAAACCGGGUUUAAAAAAUUUAAAAAUAAUAACACAUAUGGGUGGUCCCAAAACUACAACAACCACAUUUCACUAGCAGUACCAGUACCAGUACCAUUAAAGACCGAGCUAACUCAAUGCCGAUGGAAUCUCAUGGGAACUCUAUACGAUGUACAAUCUGACGGACUAAGCUGGCUGAAAUUAACUUGGACAUAUUUCGAGUUACAUCACCCGUGCAUAACUUUUUACAAAAGAUCUCGUCGAGCAACAAAAGUCUCGCCCGUGCUCAAAGAAUAAUGGAUCCAGCUACUUCCAAGGGGAAUAAGAAAAGGAAAACGACAGCUGCGAAUUUUUUUAAUCCACACUCAAGAUGUCCUGCGUAGUUACACAUCGACUGCGCCACAGUAGAUCUAUAUAAUUUUAUAAAUUAUAUAAAUACGUUUGUCCUAGGAUAAUAUUUUUUGCAAUCACUCGGAAAGAUAUUGUAAGUACGACACCUGGAUCUGGAUGUAUGCAUGCAGUAACGGAUCGUCCCCUUGGGCUCACAAUGAAACGGCUAGACGUGGGCAGUAGUUAGGUACCCGAUGUAGCAGACGGAGUGCUUACUGCUUGGUGAUGGUGAUAGCGGGGCAAAAGACGUUAUGUCGGGGCACAACGACGUUUGAUCCCUUAGCAUCUGCUGGCUCUGGCACGAGCUACUUUUAAGGGUAGCAAAUAAGACGCUCUAUAGUUAUAUAACUGCUGACUGCUGACUGCUGACGUUACGCACCGGUUCAACGCUUCUUAUUCUUUGUCUUACUCAUCUGCUUAAUAAAAGCCCAAGAUCUUGUCUGACCGUAGCCCUGAGCCAAAGGAAACAAACUUUGCUGUUUAAACUGGCGCCUUUUUUCACACUGCGCCAUCACGUGCCCGCCAUUUCAAGCUAAACGCCAUCUUGUCGCAAUUUCCAGCCAAGAAAUAACUUUUACACUAAAAAUUGCUUGUAAAGUUUUUAUUUAUAAAAUUUUUCGUAGGUUUAAAUAAAAAAAGCAACCCUAUUUUUUCAUCGGUACGAAGAAAACUUUAAAAGGAUCUCUGUUAUGAAAAUCCAGAGGUUUCUCCUUUUAUUGUUACACUAACCAGAGUUCUGUUAUACUCCGUUAAGGUAUUUACAACACAACAGGUAUACCUAUUUUUCUCGGAAGACUUUUCAAAAAUUUUUCCCUGCCGUGAGUCAUAGCUUAAAAUAAUAAUUACAAUAUAUAACAAAAAAUCUAAAGAAGAAACAAUGGUCUAAUCAGCGUCCUGAUUUAAUAUUUAUUUUAAAAGAAAGAAGAGCUUGAAAAUGACAAAACGGUAUUUUGGAAUUAAAAAUAAUUGACAAAAUAAAUAAUUCGUAUAAAGUUACACGGGAUUUAAAGUUGAAUAGAAUUGACAAAAUAGAAAGAGGGAGCGAGAGGUUAAAAAAAUAAAAGAAUUGGCAGAGGAAAAAGCUUGAGGAUAUCAGAGAGUCUGCUGGUUUCUCGCCGACAAUAACGCUGCAGCAGGUACCUAUCCUACAGGCAUUCCAUCAAGAUGGUAUCGAGCAGGCAAAGGGGAAGGGCAAGGGGUGCUGGGGAGGCCAAAGUCGGACGGCGAGAGAUAUUAAAGGAUGUUGUGCCGCGACGGUGUGGGGCUGGGAGAAGAAUCCUGUGGUGUGGUGGGUACCAGGACCAUGAGAGCUGAAUCUCCCAAACGGGGCUUAGCAUCACCACCACCAACGAGUAAGAACCCUGCAGAUGAUCCACAUCCUUGCAAUUUAAACACAUUAUUUUCUUUCAUCCCGACAACUAAUAAUUAAUUACAUUGCCCUUGAUUUUAUUUUUAUUAAUUUAAAGAGUUUCCAGGACAAUAAUAGAACUAGAAAAAUGAGCAUUUGUUGGAGCAGAGGGUGGAAGGAUUGAAUGUUAUUGAAGAUAAAAUUCCCCGAGAAAGUCUUUCUAUUGAAUAUAAUUUGGAAUGGAUUGUUGGUGUGUGUAGUGAGCUGGUGCUCACCAGGUUCAGUUGUCUGGGAUUUUGGCAUCAGCAGCAGGGCGGGGCGAACGGUUUUGGGUAAGACAAGAAACGACUGGGAGUAGAUUGCUGGCAAAGGUAUGCGACUUGUACGUAUCAUGUAUGUACGUAUGUAUGUAUGAUUUUUGGGCUGGUGUGUAUAUGUGCUACGCAACUUUAGUUUUGUAUUUGUAUGAGGUAAAGAUGAGUGGAGUACGAGUGUGUUUGGUGGUAUUGCAUUAGUGUGGGUACAAGUACUCCUCCUCAGAUUGGUUUAGCUACAGCCGAAAGUAACCCUGAGAAAGCAUGGGAGAACAUGGGACCUGUCGGGCCACCUUCGCAAGGUGAUUCACUGUCCAGUCGGCAACCAGUCGUGCAGCUCGCCUUUUUUAAUUGAUAAUAAUCCAACUAGAUCUUUAUAAAUAUGGAGAAUUCAGAAAAUAACCUGAAAUAAUUAAUAUAAGCCAUAAUAAUGGAGGAAAAAUUUUAAACAGAAUAAUAAUAAUAAUGUAACUAGUUUAACAUACCUGUUUUAAGGAUUUAAAAAUAAUUUUUAUGUACGAGCUGUACGAGGUGAGAAACAGAGCGCUAUCAGUCGUACCUGCUAUUGACUAAAGACUGACAGUAAAAUAAUUAUUUGGUGAAGAGUUAAAUAAAAGGCAAGGACAGCGCAAGGACCCCCGGUGGAAUGUACAGCCUGAAAAACGAUACUCACUCGGUCGUUAGUGGGUUCUUGGUAUUAGAGAUUUAAUUUAUUCGAAGGUGCCUGCGAACACACCGCGAACUGAUUUCGUGACCCAAACUUCUCUCCUUCCCGCGAUCCCUAGACACACAUACCUACACACACUAACACAAAGAGCCUUUAAAGCACCGCUGAAUCUUUUUUCGAUGAGAAAUGACCCUGGUUUUUAAUUCCCAACAUGGCAAUUAAAUUCGAGCCUGCUUACAUAAUCCGGAAUAUCAUUUUUAAAUUAACAAAAAUUAUUUAGAAAAUACCUUUAAUUUUAUAAUACUUGUUAAUUACCGGAUAGUAGUUUCAUUAACGAUCCGAGAAAAUAAACAAUCUCUGAUACGUAUAUUGUGUUAAGUAUCAGACUCAGAGAUACUCUUUUAGGCUCUGCUCUCUGACAAUACCUGAUUGUUUCUGUUGUCUGAUGAGGUGCAAACUUUCGCGCCAACAUUUCCUGUACACAUACCGGUGAUAAUUAUAAUCUCCGUGAGAAACCCGUGGUUAAAUUUAUUCAAGUAUUUUUAUUUUUUAUUUCCCCGGACAAAUACUCUGAGCGAAUAAAUGAAAUUAAUAAUAACAACAACAAUAAUUACAAUUACCUCAGAUGACUAAUAGCAUGUGUGUGAGUUUGAAAAGGUGUUAAGCUGAAAAAUGAUGAGCGCAUCAUCAUCAGCGGCAUACAUACAUCAAGAUUUGAUUUACGCAUCGAGUCAUUAAAUGGUAUGUGUGUAUUGUUGGAUUAUGACUCUCGAAAAUUAGUUAAUAAGAUCUUAAUUAUAAUAAUAAUAAUAAUAAUAAUAAUAAUAAUAAUAAUAAUAAUAUUGAUAAUAAUAAUAAUCAGGGUUAAAAUACCUGGAAAGCCCUUUUGAAGGUCACUUAAAUCUGUUGGACGUUGGACGGGUCUACUACUGCCAAAUACUCCUUUUUUCUCUGUCGUACUUUUGGAAUAAGGUACGUCUGGUUCUGGGCGAUUGUGUAUUGGCGUAGCCGACGUGGAAUGUGGUCCUGGUAGGGCCGAGAAGGGGAUCAUUGCGUGGUCCUGUGGACCUGUGGUCGUGGUGCCGCCACCGCGGCUCUCUCCUCUAUCUCAUUUUGUUGAACGUAAUACCACGAGCACCACGAGCGGACUACGACCAGGAGGAUCACCACGGGUCCUACACACACUCACCUAACAUCGAACAUGGAUCCUGAUGAUCAAGUUAGAGAGCAAGGUAUACCUAUACAACCUAUAGAAGGUAGACCCGAUUUCUCCUAGCAGUAUGUUUCUCCUUCCCUCUACGGUUUUGGCACUCCUAGUCCCAGUAUGCCAGAGCUUUGGGCCCCGGAGGAGGGGUACAGACCUCCAACAGUUGCCCAGGGAGGUCCUCGCCCGCCAAACGAGCUUUAUCCCCACAGACAGGCCCAAAAUCAGCAUCCUCUGCUCAGCAGAUCAAAAACAAAGCUUUUUUUCAGCUAUUGUUGUUAUUUUUUAUUCCAAAUCAAAUUCUUUAGCCUUUGUGGCUUUAGUCCUUGUUAUUUCUGGACCAGAGAUUGGGUGUAGGGCCGCGCCCGCUUCUCACCCUUCGAUCUACCGGCACAAUCAAAAAAUUUUAUCGAUCCAUCAGCCCGCUCUUGUUGUUCUUGUUCGCUUUGGCAGAUUCUUUUUCGCCCGUGGGAGUCAAGGGUCAAGGGUCACCUCUGCUCCCGCUGCUAUAUAACAGCGUGUCUAAAUUCAACAACUGAUGGUACCUCCAUAAAAAUAAACGUUGCAGUAAAUGUAUUUCAUCGCUUCUUAUUAUCUGCAACACACAAUUAUUUUUAAAUUUAAUUUUUAUACAAUAAUUUUAAUCAAUAAGCAGAAAGAGGAACAGAAAUUCUGGCGCCAAAUAAGAAUUUCAAUUUUUUUUUUUCGGAUACAAUAAAUGGCUCGAAAAAAAAAAA